UACGUAGGUGGCAAGCGUUGUCCGGAUUUAUUGGGUUUAAAGGGUGCGUAGGUGGUUUGAUAAGUCAGUGGUGAAAGAUGAUUGCUCAACAAUCAAACUGCCAUUGAUACUGUUAGACUUGAGAGAAGUGGAGGCUGGUGGAAUGGAUGGUGUAGCGGUGAAAUGCAUAGAUAUCAUCCAGAACGUCAAUUGCGAAGGCAGCUGGCUGUACUUUUUCUGACACUGAGGCACGAAAGUGUGGGGAUCAAACAGGAUUAGAUACCCUGGUAGUCCACACUGUAAACGAUGCGAACUAGCUUUUUGGCUGUAAAGUUGAGAGGCUAAGGGAAACCGAUAAGUUCGCCACCUGGGGAGUACGCCGGCAACGGUGAA
rnacentral:rRNA from 1 species